GAUGAACGCCGGCGGCGUGCUUAACACAUGCAAGUCGAGCGAUGAAGUUUCCUUCGGGAAACGGAUUAGCGGCGGACGGGUGAGUAACACGUGGGUAACCUGCCUCAUAGAGUGGAAUAGCCUUUCGAAGGAAGAUUAAUACCGCAUAAUGUUGAAAGAUGGCAUCAUCAUUCAACCAAAGGAGUAAUCCGCUAUGAGAUGGACCCGCGGCGCAUUAGCUAGUUGGUGGGGUAACGGCCUACCAAGGCGACGAUGCGUAGCCGACCUGAGAGGGUGAUCGGCCACAUUGGGACUGAGACACGGCCCAGACUCCUACGGGAGGCAGCAGUGGGGAAUAUUGCACAAUGGGGGAAACCCUGAUGCAGCAACGCCGCGUGAGUGAUGAAGGUUUUCGGAUCGUAAAGCUCUGUCUUUGGGGAAGAUAAUGACGGUACCCAAGGAGGAAGCCACGGCUAACUACGUGCCAGCAGCCGCCGUAAAAC
rnacentral:rRNA from 1 species